CGCGUAGGCGGGGAUUUAAGUCAGAUGUGAAAACUCCAGGGCUUAACUUGGAGAUUGCAUUUGAAACUGGAUUUCUUGAGGGCAGGAGAGGAAAGUGGAAUUCCUAGUGUAGCGGUGAAAUGCGUAGAUAUUAGGAGGAACACCAGUGGCGAAGGCGACUUUCUGGACUGUACCUGACGCUGAGGCGCGAAAGCGUGGGGAGCAAACG
rnacentral:rRNA from 1 species